AGGCUGAAAUUCGCCUUCAUGAAGCCGGAAUUGCUAGUAAUGGCAGGUCAGCAUACUGCCGUGAAUACGUUCCCGGGCCUUGUACACACCGCCCGUCACACCAUGAGAGUUGGGAAUACCCGAAGCCUGUGAGCUAACAUUACGAGGCAGCAGUCGAAGGUAGAAUCAAUGAUUGGGUGAAGUCGUAACAAGGUAAC
rnacentral:rRNA from 1 species